rnacentral:snRNA from 1 species
GCCUUUACCUGUAAGGAAAAAAUCAUGACCAAAAAGGUGAUUUUUCUAGAGCGAGGCAUAUUUUGUACUCGGUUUGGUAAACCUGGCAGUGUUCCCCAAAUGCAGGUCAUUCAUCUGGAUGCUUUGUGAUAGUGUGGAGAGUGGACUUGCCAUC